CAAUAUCACCACCAACCCUGGUUACAAUAUCACCACCAACCCUGGUUACAAUAUCACCACCAGCCCUGGUUACAAUAUCACCACCAACCCUGGUUACAAUAUCACCACCAGCCCUGGUUACAAUAUCACCACCAACCCUGGUUACAAUAUCACCAGCCCUGGUUACAAUAUCACCACCCUGGUUACAAUAUCACCACCAGCCAUGGUUACAAUAUCACCAACCCUGGUUACAAUAUCACCACCAACCCUGGUUACAAUAUCACCACCAGCCCUGGUUACAAUAUCACCACCAGCCCUGGUUACAAUAUCACCACCAACCUUGGUUCAAUCCUAGUGGAAAAUUCUGUUAGUAUGACCACAACAUGAUGAACCCUUAUUCAACGUUGGGUCAACCUUGGGUCAACCCUGGUUCUGUUAGAAUAACCACAAUAUGACCAACGGGGUAGGAGCGUUGGGCCAGUAACCGAAAGGUUGCUAGAUCGAACCCCCGAGCUGACAAGGUACAAAUCUGUCGUUCUGCCCCAGAGCAAGGCAGUUAACCCACUGUUCCCCGGGCCCUGAGCAAGGCAGUUAACCCACUGUUCCCCGGGCCCUGAGCAAGGCAGUUAACUCACUGUUCCCCGGGCCCUGAGCAAGGCAGUUAACCCACUGUUCCCCGGGCCCUGAGCAAGGCAGUUAACCCACUGUUCCCCGGGCCCUGAGCAAGGCAGUUAACCCACUGUUCCCCGGGCCCUGAGCAAGGCAGUUAACCCACUGUUCCCCGGGCCCUGAGCAAGGCAGUUAACCCACUGUUCCCCGGGCGCCGUUGAUGUGGAUGUCAAUUGUAAGGCAGCCCCCCCCCACCCCACCUCUCUGAUUCAGAGGGUUAAAUGUGGAAGACACAUUUCAGUUGAAUGAAUUCAGUUCGACAACUGACUAGGUAUCCCCUUCCUGGUUCUGUUAGUAUGACCAACCCUAGUUCUGUUAGUAUGAUCAACCCUGGUUCUGUUAGUAUGACCAACCCUGCUACAGGGAAGGCUGUAGUGUGUCUGAUAACAAUAGAAGAUACAGGACAGAUAUAUAACAGGAGUGUUUAGUGAAACUGGCAGGCUGUUAACAUCACUUUGUCACGGUCCGGACACCUCCUGGCUCUUCCUGACACUCAGCCUGAAUCUUCAUGGCUUCCAUUAACAUUAAUUAGAGAGGGGAAUUAUAAUUUACUCCAUGUGACAGAGAAAACUAAAAUGCUCAAAGUUAAAAAGUCUCCUCUUCUGGAAUGAUAACAUGCUAGUGAUCAUGGAGCAGAGAUAAACUGGAGAUAUUGUGAGAUGUUACAGGAGUUGUGUGGGGUAGUGCUGAUGUUAAACUGCUGCUCUUAAGGACACACAUGCACUUGACAGGUAAUUCUCCAAACUCAAAACACACUGAAAAUAAUCAAAGACAGAUCCUCGCUCUUGUAACCCAUCUGACAAAAACAAAAGCACCAAGUCUCUCCUGAAUAUUUGGCUGACAAUUCAGACCGUUCCAAAGUGUUUUGGUUUUUUAGUGGAUGUUUAGAUCAUUUAGAACGUUUAGAAAGUUUAGGGGUCGUUCGACGAAUUGGGUUCCUUUUGAAAAGUGUAAAAUAAAUAAAUAAUUGUUUCACCUAAUUUUAACAUUCUGUCAUUCAUUAACAUUCUGUUAAUAAAAAAAUUAAAAUAAAAACACAUUAACCCAUCUCAAGAGGUUAAAGAAAAAAAAACUAAGCUAACAUAUGGAAUUGUUUUAAGAUGUUCAUACAAUGGAUGAUUUAGCUAUUUCAUUUUGAAUUUUAGGACCCCUUUAGGUAUCGAAAUGAAAUAUUUACUACUAUAGCCCAUAGAAAUGUAUUGAAUUACGCAUUCAUAAAUGGAAAAAAAGACAGUCCAAAAAUAAAUCAUAAGGAAUAAGGUUUUGAAGUGUCUGUCCCAUGUCUAGGAGAUAUAAGAAAGCUCAGGACAUAUUUAACCCCUUACUUUUGUGGCCACAAAAGUAUCUCCAUACUUCCAUUGGUUUGUAUGGGUUACCUUUAGAGUCUCCCCUUCCAUAGAGAAGUCAUGUAUGGGUUACCUUCAGGGUCUCCCCUUUCCAUAGAGAAG
rnacentral:lncRNA from 1 species